rnacentral:tRNA from 1 species
GCUCAGGUGGCGGAAUUGGUAGACGCGCCAGGUUAAGGACCUGGUGUCCGAUAGGACGUGCGGGUUCAAGUCCCGCCCUGAGCACCA